rnacentral:lncRNA from 1 species
UGUGAGCUGAGGGCCCCAAGGCCCGUAUAGUGGGGACUUAGGGGUGAAGCAUGAGCCCACGGCUAGCUGUGUCUUGUAGCUACACUCUGGGAAAUGCAGGGAAGUUGCUUUGCAGGAGGGAUGGGGCCCUGCUGGCCAGGCCCAGAGCUUGGGUGGCAUCUGUGUGUCCCCCUGCCUGUUAUUUCUGAGGGCUGAACACAGUGAUGAUUGGGACCCUGAGGAGAGCGGGUGUCAGUGGCAGCAGGACUUAGUAUCCCCUCUGAGGUGGAGAGCUCUGGAGGAGGAAGAGUGCGGAGUAGAUGUGCGAGAUGAGGGCUUGUGGGUUCUGAGAGGGAGAAAGUUCAUGGUUUCCUCUGUCCCCAUCCUGACAGGACAGUGUGACCUUUGGAGACGUUGCAGUGUACUUCUCCUGGGAGGAGUGGAGGCUCCUUGGUGAAGCUUAGAGGCACUUGUACUUCAGUGUGAUGCUGGAGAACUUUGCGCUCAUAUCCUCGCUGGGGUUCGCUCCCUUCCUUGACUGACAUUUCCUAGGACCUGCCUGUGCCAGGAAUUGCAGGCAUUGUCAUGAUCACUACUUACCUGGACCAUGGGCUAUUUUUCAGGACUUUUCUAUGAGAUCUACUCUCAGCAAAUUUCCUUGUACAGUAUAGUAUGAGUCACUGUAGUCGGCAUGCUGUACAUUAGAUCCUCAGAACUUAUUCAUCUUAUGAAUGAAAUUGUAUCCUUUGACCAACAUCUCCCCAUUUCUCCAGCCCUCAGCUUCUGGCAUUCUACUUUCUGUCUCUAUGAGUGUGCCUUUUUAUUUUAGAGUCUACAUAUAAGUAAUAUCAUACAGUAUUUAUCUCUGUGUGAUUGGCUUGAUUCACUUAGCAUAAUGUCCUCAAGGUUCAUCCAUAUUGUUGCAAGUAGCAGUUUUUCCUUCUUUUUUAUGGCUGAAUAGUCCAGUGUGUGUGUGUGUGUCUCACAUUUUCUUUAUCAGAUGAACACUUAGUUUCCUUAUCGGCUAUUGUGAAUAAUGCUGCAAUGAAUAGGCACAUGCAGAUAUUUCUUAGAGAUACUGAUUUUGUUUCCUUGGGAUAUAUCCCCAGAAGUGGGAAUGGUGGAUCACAAGUUCUGUUUUUAAUUUUAAUUUUAAUUUCUUGAAGAACUUCCAUGGUAUUUUCCAUAAUGGCUGCACUAAUUUCCGUUACCAGCAACAGUGUUUAAGGGUUCCCUUUUCUCCACAUUAAUUUGAUACAGUCCCACUGGUUGAUUUUAGCUUUUGUUGCCUAUGAGUUUGAUAUCAUAUGCAGAAAAUCAUUGCCAAGAACAAUGUCAAGGAGGCUUUUCUCUGUAUUUUCUUCUAGGAGUUUUAAGGUUUCACUUCAUACAUUUAAAUUUAAGUCUUUAAUCCAUUCUGAAUUCAUUUUCAUGCAUAUGAUAAGAUGAGAAUCCUGUUUCGUUCUUUUGCGUGUGGCUAUCCAAUUUUCCCAUCAGUAUUUAUUGAAGAGACUGUCCUCCCCCCAUUGUGUUUUCUUGGU